rnacentral:misc_RNA from 1 species
AUGCAUUUCCUGUCAAAAUACAUAUGCGUAAUCGAGGGCAAGUGCCUCGCGGAAGGGAUUUCCUCAAAAGUGAAAGAUCAGGGAGAACCCCCUGAGGCAUGUAGCUCCAGUAAGAAUCCACCCGACACACCAGACAUUGAUGACAAGGUUGCCAACUUCCUUGCUACAAGACAGCAGGAUUGGCAGUCAGGCGGGUUAUCUACUGAAUACUUCCUGUUAAAGCUUGAGGAGGCAAAUCGUCAGCUGCAACAGUACGAGCAAAGUGCGGCUCCCCCUGGUUGGUCUUGCCACUGGGACAGUCCACAAAGAGAUGUGGAUGAGGAUGCCAGUCAGACAUCAGACAUGGGGCAUCUUAAUGGAGAAGAAGCUUCCAGCUCAACCACAGACACUGAGACCAGACCUAAAACAAAGGAAAGUCAAAAAUUAGAGAAAUUUCAAAAAUCAAAAGUGGAUUCCCAAGAUGGAGACAAACAUUUGGUAGGUAAUUCAGAUAGCAUGGAUAUUGAGGAGCAGGUGGAAGAUAGCUCUGAAGUCAGUCAGUAUGUGGAGGGGGAAUCUGUUAGCUCCACGGUCCAGCCUUCAAGUGAAGCAGGUGUACCAGAUACAACGUCCAUACUGUCAGUCAUGGAUGAAAUCUUCCAGUCUAUCAGUGGCUCAGGCUUGCAUCUCAAGAAGAAGAAUGUGACUUCGUUGGUACAGAAGUGGCAGAAAGUGAAGAUGGAGGUGGAGAUAGAGGAGCGGAACCGUGAGGAGCGUGAGCAGGCGAUCCGUCAGAAGCUGGAGGAGUACAAGCAAGAGUACAGCUGUCAUGACUCUUCCCGCAUACUAAAACAGACAGGUUUUGGAUAAAACUUGCUCUCGUGUUUGAAGCGUAAGCUUUGAGAACGAGGAGAGAAAAACUUGCAUCGAGGCUCCAUCAGUCUACCGUCGGGGAGGGGUACAUCAGUGACCACAAUGUCUUUAGCGGUACAAGAGAUCAACCUAGAAGGCGUAUCCCCGGAACAAGUUCAGUAUUUGGCAAAUCUUAUUGAAGCCAGUAAGCACAAUGAUGCAGAUCUCGUUAACAAAGGUGAAAUUCCAAAACUGCAGCAGCUGGUUCUAAAUAAGUGUUUGAGCACCAUCUCAGAGGACAGCGAGAAUGGGGUGUAUGUCCAAAGUUUUCCUGAUGAAUGCACUGGCAAUAAUGCCCCCAGUUCUUAUUACAUUAUAAGUACCAACAGGGAUGAUGAAGAUCAUGAGAUGUAUCAAGGUGCUGAAAUGGAUAUACAAAGACUGCAAAGAACGUCUAAUCCUUCAUACAACCAAGAUCCUUGCAUGGCUACUGCUGAUACCUCCUUUGGAGAGGAGAAUAUGCUGGAUAACCUAUCAAGACAAGUAGCAAUGCAGCAGCAAUACAUUUGCAAUGCAAUGAAUAUUGUGCCAAUAAGUUUAGACAACAGUGCUAGGUGCUAUGCAGAAAAUGGAAGUUACACUGUUCCUUGUCAAGAAUAUAGUAUUGAGGAACCACAGGCAUUGAAUGAUAGUUUGAAUGGAAGCUUGAUAAACAGUGGCUUUGCAGUUCCACAACAACCCAUGAACAGCUUCAACCAACCAAUCAUUCAUUUACACUCUACUCCAGAGAGCAACCCAAUCAGAAACAAAAGCAAAGGAAGCAUGCAAGGAGAAAAUAUGGAGACACCAGAAAAUCAUCAUGGAAUCCUGACAUCCCAAGGCCGCUAUGUGUACACUCCUCACCCCCGUACCGGGCAGUUGCUCUAUGUGAGGACUGCUGAUGAUGGCUCCCCCCAGCUGUAUCAUCCCCUCCCUGCAGUGCCUGCCACACCUAUUCAACCAAGCCAACCUGAUACAAGUCAAUUCUCAACUCCAAAGACCUCGACAAGCAAUGCUUUAAACAGCAGCGGAGAGGAGGUACAGGAUAGCUCCACUGGUGAUCCACCCACUGACAAAUCAACCUCCACCGAUGUAUCUUCCACCUCCGAAGGAUCCACCUCUCUGUUGAGCUCUUCCGCUGAUAAGAACAAGUUAUACGAUAUCUCCUUGUUCAGUAGUUGUGUUGAAGAUGGUAGAGAACAACACAACUUGAAGGAAAGACGAAGAAGAGCUAGAAUCAAAGAUGCCUGUGAUGUUCUAAGGAAACUUGUCCCAGGAAUGUCAGACAAGACAGAUAAAGCCACAGUUUUUGAAUUUGCAGCCAGAUAUGUGCACUUCCUGAAAGGAUUUGUUGGCAAUCAACACGACAAAGAUUUCCUUCUGAAGUAUAGUCCGUAUUGAGUUGCAUAGAGAAUGCCAAUGUUCUGGAUUCUGCAGGACACAAGAAAAUCCAAGGUGCCAUAUUUAGCUGAACAGUGGACAAUACAUGGAGGCAGUUUCCCCGAUUUCUAUACUGUAGUGCAGGCCACAAUUGGCCAACACAGAGAAUAUAUAUAUCAUGAAAGAUAAAAAUGAUGUAUUCAUAAAGCAUCAGUGCAAUUGCUUUAAAUGUUGAGUUUAUAUUAAAGAUACAUGUUUUUAAAAAUUAUUUAUCGAAUAACAUCAUUCCUAUUGACAUGUAAUUCUAAGCUUUUUGUUUGAUAUACAAAAAUAAAACUUAUCUAAGCU